UGUUUCGCUAGUCUGGGUUAAGAUCAUCCAGGAAUGGGUGAACUCAAGGUGUCUGAACACAGCCGGAAGUUAAUCUUCCCCACCCACAGGUGCAGACACAACAUUCAGCUUUGCACUGAAUUGCUGCACUCAUCCUUCUGGUUUUUGCCCAGAGCAGGACAGCUCCUGAUGCUUGAGAGNGGGAAGCUUCAAGGAUGGAUACACUGGCCUACAUUACUGUUACUGUUCUUUUCCUGACCUCUCUUUGCCAGAAUUCUUGUUCAGAAGUAACUGCUGGGCAUUCUUUCAACACAUCAGAACAGUGUCCUCAUAUUGAAUUCUGUUCAGAAGCAGCCAAGUGCUGCCAGUUUGGAGUGGACGACUAUGGAUGGAUCGCUGCAGCUGUGGGCUGGAGUCUCUGGUUCCUCACCCUGAUCCUUCUCUGCAUUGAUAAGCUCGUGAAACUCAAGCCUGAUGAGCCCAAGUACCUGGAAGCAUGAAGCUGGAUCAAGCUGGCAAGCACUUCCACCUAUCCAUGUGAUGCAAUGUGAAACAAGGAGAGAAAGAAGUCCAGUUAGCCUGCACAAGGGACACUUGUGCAUGGCGUGUCACAAAAAAAGGGGGUUGUGAGGAAUGAACCACUGCCAGGGCACGCUCAAUUGUUUUUAUAUGUCUCUGCAUCUUGCCAAGUCCGGGAUAGGAAGCGGGGAGAAACACUUCUUACUGUAGUUGCAUUUUAGUGUGGCCAGAUGUCCGCUCUGGCAGAGUACAGUGCUUUAUUUUGACUAACUUCCUCUUUUUUGUCCUCUGCUGGAAAGGGUCCUCUGCUGAGUGGCUUUUCAAUACAUGCUCAGAUUAAAAAAAAGAAACUGGAGUGGGGGAGUCUUAAACAGUCCAUCCUCAGCUCAUACCUAGGUAGNAGAGACAUAGCCAUGAACUGGUCCUGGGCACUUCCCGAAACAUCCACCCCUGGAACUGGUACUGUGUUUUCUCCUCUUUUGUAAACUAGCACCCUAUUUUUUCAGUGGCACGUAUGCUUUUUGUGUAAUGUGUACUUGGCCGCCCUAUUUACAACCUUAUCGAACAGGAUGGACAAUUUUCAUCUUAGAGAAAAGGACUGUUUAUCUACCCUGAAAAUGAGAUGGGAAACCUGCUGCAACUGUGAUCUACCGGGCAUUUACCUCUGAUGACAUUGUGCUAUUUCAAACUAUCCUCCUCUCUCUGCUUUGGUAUGAGUCCAAGCCAAGCACCCUGUAAACUAGUCAAUUCUUGCUAGUUCUGCAGGAAACUAUAAUGCUUCCGUGUUAGGACCGUAUAACAAACACAAACCCAAGUGCUUGCACAACAAAUAAAUGGUGUUUUCAUUCUCCUCUGACUCA
rnacentral:lncRNA from 1 species